GACGAACGCUGGCGGCGUGCUUAACACAUGCAAGUCGAACGGAAAGGCCCUGCUUUUGUGGGGUUCUCGAGUGGCGAACGUGUGAGUAACACGUGAGUUACCUGCCCUUGACUUUGGGAUAUCUUCAGGCAACUGGGGCUAAUACCCGAUAGGUGCUCCUGCUGCAUGGUGUGGUUUGGUAAGUUUCGGCGGUUGGGGAUGUACUCGCCGCUUAUCAGCUUGUUUGUGAGGUAGUGGCUUACCAAGGCUUUGACGGGUAGUCGGCUUGAGAGGGUGAACGGCCAGAUUGGGAGUGAGAGACGGAGCAGACUACUAGGGGAGGCAGCAGGGGGGAAGAUUGCACAAGGAGAGGAAGGCUGAUGCAACAACGGAGCGAGCGGGAUGACGGCAUUCGGGUUGUAAACAGCUUUGGACUGAGACGAAGGGAGAGUGACGGUAAUGGGUAAAGAAGCACCGGCUAACUACGUG
rnacentral:rRNA from 1 species